rnacentral:lncRNA from 1 species
CAGAAAUCUCAAAGGCUAUACUUUUAUGGCCUUCAUGUUUUAGAAUUGCUGCCGGUACUAAGUCAAUCCAAGCCUACGCGCUCUUUUGGUGCGUGUUUUGAUGUCUGCUGCUGGCUCCAGCAACAAGUUGUUUCACUUUUGCCCGCAUUCAUCUACUACUGGGAGAAAUGUCCACUUUGCGAUACAUCGCUCGAUCUCUCGUAAACUCUAGGUUUGCAGCACGCGCCUUAUAAGUACUGGCGGCCCCCGACAAACCAAGAUUUACACUCGCACGGGUGACAAAGGCACGUCCGCAACGUACACUGGGCAGAGGCGGCGCAAGGACGACGCAGUCUUCGAGGCCCUGGGUGCCACAGACGAGCUCAACUCUCACAUUGGCUACGUCCGCGCUAUCCUAAAGCAUCCAGAGGUCAGCGAACAGCUCAAAUGGGUUCAGUGCUUGCUCCAAGACCUCCAGGCUUCUAUCGCAACG